UCAAUGUUAUAUUUUCAUUUGUCCAGGUACCAUUGGAUUCUGACUAUAAUUAAUGAAGAUAAGAAUAUGAUAUAUUUAUUGGACUCUUUGAGUAAUAGGAACCGAGAUCAUGCUUGGCAAACUAUUGUGACCAAUGGGGUCAAGUUAUACAAUGCAUCAAAGGGUAUUUCAAAAGGACCUGGUUUUAAACAAUUGACGGGUAAUCUAAAACAAAAAGGUGGUGUUGAA